rnacentral:rRNA from 1 species
UGGUGAUGGCGUGCCUUUUGAAGAAUGAGCCUGCGAGUUAUGGUGUGUGGCGAGGUUAACCGGUGGCGGGUAGCCGUAGCGAAAGCGAGUCUGAAUAGGGCGAUUUAGUCGCAUGCUGUAGACCCGAAGCGGGGUGAUCUAGCCAUGGGCAGGGUGAAGCGCCGGUAAGACGGUGUGGAGGCCCGAACCCACCAGGGUUGAAAACCUGGGGGAUGACCUGUGGUUAGGGGUGAAAGGCCAAUCAAACUCCGUGAUAGCUGGUUCUCCCCGAAAUGCAUUUAGGUGCAGCGUCGCGUGUUUCUUGCCGGAGGUAGAGCUACUGGAUGGCUGAUGGGCCCUACCAGGUUACUGACGUCAGCCAAACUCCGAAUGCCGGUAAGUGAGAGCGUGGCAGUGAGACUGCGGGGGAUAAGCUUCGUAGUCGAGAGGGAAACAGCCCAGAUCAUCGGCUAAGGCCCCUAAGCGUGUGCUAAGUGGGAAAGGAUGUGGAGUUGCUGUGACAACCAGGAGGUUGGCUUAGAAGCAGCCACCCUUGAAAGAGUGCGUAAUAGCUCACUGGUCAAGUGAUUCCGCGCCGACAAUGUAGCGGGGCUCAAGCACACCGCCGAAGCCGUGGCAUUCCAGCUUGCUGGGAUGGGUAGGGGAGCGUCCUGCAGCCGGCGAAGCCGCCGAGUGAUCGAGUGGUGGAGGCUGUGGGAGUGAGAAUGCAGGCAUGAGUAGCGAAUGGAGAGUGAGAAACUCUCCCGCCGGAUGACCAAGGGUUCCUGGGGCAGGCUAAUCCGCCCAGGGUAAGUCGGGACCUAAGGCGAGGCCGACAGGCGUAGUCGAUGGACAACGGGUUGAUAUUCCCGUACCCGCUGGUAUGCGCCAACGCUGAAUCCUCUGAUGCUAACCAUCCGAACCGCCUUCGUUCCCUUCGGGGAGUGUUGGUUGGGGAGCAUGGGGCCCGAGGGGGUAGUAGGUGAGUGAUGGGGUGACGCAGGAGGGUAGCUCAGCCCAGGCGAUGGUUGUCCUGGGGUAAGCAUGUAGCCCGUGCCAUAGGUAAAUCCGUGGCGCGUUAAGGGUGAGAUGUGAUGCCGAGCCGUUUUAGGUGAAGUGAGUGAUCCCAUGCUGCCGAGAAAAGCCUCUAGCGAGUGUACCGGCGGCCCGUACCCUAAACCGACUCAGGUGGUCAGGUAGAGAAUACCAAGGCGAUCGGGUGAACUGUGGUUAAGGAACUCGGCAAAUUGCCCCCGUAACUUUGGGAGAAGGGGGACCAUGCCCGGUGACGGCACUUGCUGCCUGAGCUGGGGGUGGUCGCAGAGGCCAGGGGGAAGCGACUGUUUACUAAAAACACAGGUCCGUGCGAAGUCGUAAGACGCUGUAUACGGACUGACGCCUGCCCGGUGCCGGAACGUUAAGAGGACCGGUUAGAUCUCUUCGGGGGUCGAAGCUGAGAAUCUAAGCGCCGGUAAACGGCGGUGGUAACUAUAACCAUCCUAAGGUAGCGAAAUUCCUUGUCGGGUAAGUUCCGACCUGCACGAAUGGCGUAACGACUUCCCCGCUGUCUCAACCACAGGCCCGGUGAAAUUGCAGUACGAGUAAAGAUGCUCGUUUCGCGCAGCAGGACGGAAAGACCCCGGGACCUUCACUACAGCUUGGCAUUGGCGUUUGGAACGGUUUGUGUAGGAUAGGUGGGAGACUGUGAAGCCCGCACGCCAGUGUGGGUGGAGUCAUUGGUGAAAUACCACUCUGGUCGUUUUGAGCGUCUAACCCGCGCCCGUGUAUCCGGGUGGGGGACAGUGCCUGGUGGGUAGUUUAACUGGGGCGGUUGCCUCCUAAAGAGUAACGGAGGCGCCCAAAGGUUCCCUCAGCCUGGUUGGCAAUCAGGUGGCGAGUGCAAGGGCACAAGGGAGCUUGACUGUGAGACGGACGUGUCGAGCAGGUGCGAAAGCAGGGCCUAGUGAUCCGGCAUCUACGUGUGGAAGUGGUGUCGCUCAACGGCUAAAAGGUACCCCGGGGAUAACAGGCUGAUCUUCCCCAAGAGUCCAUAUCGACGGGAUGGUUUGGCACCUCGAUGUCGGCUCGUCGCAUCCUGGGGCUGGAGUAGGUCCCAAGGGUUGGGCUGUUCGCCCAUUAAAGCGGCACGCGAGCUGGGUUUAGAACGUCGCGAGACAGUUCGGUCCCUAUCCGCUGCGCGCGUAGGAGAAUUGAGAGGGUCUGUCCCUAGUACGAGAGGACCGGGACGGACGAACCUCUGGUGUGCCAGUUGUCCCGCCAGGGGCACGGCUGGUUGGCUACGUUCGGUCGGGAUAACCGCUGAAAGCAUCUAAGCGGGAAGCCUUCCUCGAGAUGAGUUCUCCCUCCC